AUGUUAUCCUUAUAUGCUAGUGGAGUGGGAGGUCACUCGGGUUUCCAAGGUACUUAUCAAAGGAUUAAAGCUCGGUUUGCCUGGCCUGUCAUGAAGCGAGAUAUUCAAAGCUAUGUGAAAGAAUGCACUGUGUGUCAACAAGCUGAACAUAUUAAAAAGCCUGGCUUGCUCAGCCCUCUCCCAGUACCUAAAGAAGCAUGGAAUUUGGUUACUAUGGAUUUUAUUGGAGGUAGCCCUCUGCCAGUACCUAAAGAAGCAUGGAAUUUGGUUACUAUGGAUUUUAUUGGAGGUCUACCCAAGAGAAAGAAUUUUGACACUAUCCUGGUGGUCAUUGACAAAUUUAGCAAGUAG
rnacentral:rRNA from 1 species